rnacentral:rRNA from 1 species
GAUGAACGCUAGCGGCAGGCCUAACACAUGCAAGUCGAGGGGCAGCACAUAAAGUGGUUUACUACUUUUGGUGGCGACCGGCGGACGGGUGCGUAACGCGUAUGCAACCUGCCUCCAACAGGGGGAUAACGGAGAGAAAUUUCCACUAAUACCCCAUAAUAUCAGAAUCGGCAUCGGUUUUGGUUGAAAACUCCGGUGGUUGGAGAUGGGCAUGCGUUGUAUUAGAUAGUUGGUGAGGUAACGGCUCACCAAGUCAACGAUACAUAAGGGGACUGAGAGGUUAGCCCCCCACACUGGUACUGAGACACGGACCAGACUCCUACGGGAGGCAGCAGUGAGGAAUAUUGGUCAAUGGGGGCAACCCUGAACCAGCCAUGCCGCGUGCAGGAAGACGGCUCUAUGAGUUGUAAACUGCUUUUACAAGGGGAUAAAUCGCUGUACGUGUACACCGUUGAAGGUACCUUGGGAAUAAGGAUCGGCUAUCUCCGUGCCAGCCGCCGCGGUAA